CCUGGUUCGUCCUGUCAGUAGUCAUUUGUUUGUCUCAAAUAUUAAGUCAUGCAUGUCUAAGUAUGAACUAAUUAAGAUUGUGAAACUGCGGAUGGCUCAUUAAAUAAGUUAUAGUUUUUUUUAUGGUACCAUACUACUCAGAUAACCGUAGUAAUUCUAGAGCUAAUACAUGCACCAAGUCCCGACUCUUUGGAAGGGAUGCAUUUUUUAGAUAAAAGAUUGGUGUUGGCUUUCCCACUUCACUAGUGAAUCAUGAUAACUUGACGAAAUGUGUAGCCUUUGUGCUAGCAAUGCUUCAUUCAAAUUUCUGCCCUAUCAACUUUCAAUAAUAGGAUAAAGGCCUACCAUGGUGGUGAUUGGUGAUGGAGAAUUAGGGUUUGAUUUUUGAGAGGGAGCCUAAAAAUGGUUACCACAUCCAAGGAAGGCAGUAGGCGCACAAAUUACCCAAUCCUAACAUGGGUAGGUAGUGACAAUAAAUAACAAUAUUGGGCUCAUCAAGUAUGGUAAUUGGAAUGAGUACAAUCUAAAUCCCUGAAAGAGGAUACAUUGGAGGGAAAUUCUGGUGCCAGUAGGUGCAGUAAUUCCAGAUCCAAUAGCAUAUAUUUAAGUUGUUGUAGUUAAGAAGCUCGUAGUUGGAUCUUGGGUCGUAAAGGUCAGUUUGCCUACUCGAUGUGCACCUGCCCUUCCAUCCCUUUUAUUGGCAGUGUGCUCCUAGCCUUAAUUGGCUAGGUCGUGGCUCCAAUGUUGUUACUUUGAAAAAAUUAGAGUGCUCAAAGCAAGCUUAUGCUAUUAAUACAUUAGCAUGGAAUAGCGUGAUAGGAGUCUCGUCCUAUUAUGUUGGCCUUCGGGACAAAAGUAAUUAUUAAUAGGGACUAUCGAGGGCAUUUGUAUUUCAUUGUCAAAGGUGAAAUUCUUGGAUUUAUGAAAGACAGGCCAUUACGAAAGCAUUUUCCAAGGAUGUUUUCAUUAAUCAAGAAUGAAAUUUGGUGGCUCAAAGAUGAUCAGAUACUAUCCUCAUCUCAACCAUAAACAAUGUCGACCUGGGAUCGGUGGAUGUUGCUCUAAGGACUCUGCCAGCACCUUCUGAAAAAUCAAAGUGUUUGGAUUUUAGGGGGAGUAUAGUCGCAAGGCUAAAACUUAAAGGAAUUGAUGGAAGGGUGCCACCAGGAGUGGAGACUGUGGCUUAAUUUGAAUUAACACAGGGAAACUUAGCAAGUCUAGACAUAGUAAGGAUUGAUAGAUUGAUAGCUCUUUCUUGAUUCUAUGGGUGGUGGUGCAUGGCCGUUCUUAGUUGGUAGAGCAAUUUGUCUAGUUAAUUCCAAUAAUAAGCAACACCUACACCUACUAACUAGCUACACGGAGGUUCCCCUUAGAUGUUCUAGUCCACACACAUGCUACAUUGAUGUAGAAAAUGAAUUUUACUUCCUGGUUCAAGAGCAUCAGAAAAUAUUCUCAAAAUGCAUCAUGAUGGGGAUAGACCAUUGCAACUAUUGGUAUUCAAUGAGGAAUUCCUAGUAAGUGUGUAUCAUCAACUUGUGUUUACUAUGUCCCUGCCCUUUGUACACACCGCUCAUCGCUCCUACCAAUUGAAUGAUCCAGUGUAGUGUUUGGAUUGUGUCGACGAUGGUCGUUUUCCACCAUCAAUGUUGUGAGAAGUUCAUUGAACCUUAUCAUUUAUAGUAAUGAGAAUUCAUAACACGAUUAUCGUAGGUGAACCUGUAGUAG
rnacentral:rRNA from 1 species